rnacentral:rRNA from 1 species
UACGAAGGGGGCUAGCGUUGCUCGGAAUCACUGGGCGUAAAGCGCACGUAGGCGGACUCUUAAGUCGGUGGUGAAAUCCUGGAGCUCAACUCCAGAACUGCCUUCGAUACUGAGAGUCUCGAGUCCGGGAGAGGUGAGUGGAACUGCGAGUGUAGAGGUGAAAUUCGUAGAUAUUCGCAAGAACACCAGUGGCGAAGGCGGCUCACUGGCCCGGUACUGACGCUGAGGUGCGAAAAGCUAGGGGAGCAAACGGG